GUGAGAUUUACUAAGACAUCUUCAGUUGCACUGCCAUCACAGAAAUGGCAGCUAGAAAAACACAGGAAGAGCCCAAAGCUUUGCCUCCUCUACAGAGAAUCAUGACAUGGCCCAAACAAGAAAGUCAACAUGGCAUUCUUCUAGGCUAAUCAAUAAUAAUCGAUAAUCCAUAAUAAUCAAUAUCCUCCUGCCCUGACCAAUAUGGGCACAUGCUUUAGGGCAGAGCAGGAGGAGGAAAGAAGGGGGAAGUUUUUUGUUUUUGUUUUUGUUUUUUUACCAGUAGUAGGAUGGGGAGCAAGUUAGUCUUAAAUCCUAGCUUAUUGGCCUGGUUGAUUUAAGAGAAAGUUAUCACCAUCCACACCAAAGCAUUAUUAAUGAUUAGAGCUUAAUGCAUGGCUUUAUUUUCUAGUUCACCAAGAGGCUUCUAGAGUCAAGUGCUUUAGUCCAGUCCAGGUGGAGAACAUUGUACUUUGAGGCUAUACUGCAGAAGAGGUAACACAUUGACCUAGCAAUUGAAGGACAUGGAUUCUUUUUCUGGUUCUGCAACUCUGAAUUUGAGCAAGAUUUUAUCUUCUCCAGAUCUCAGAUUUCUCAUUGGGAGAGGAGCGAAGCUGUGCCUGGUUAUCCAUAUGAUCCCUGCCAUCACUGAUCUCCAGGAAUUCUGUACCUCAUAUGCUGAAACCAGCUUUAUGGAAUAAGAAUGUCCUGAGCAGUGGUCAUGGCACCAACCCCCCUUGGAUAGUUGGUUUUACUUGAACCCAGCUAAGCUUAAUUUCCUGGCUCCAUUAAUAUUUACCCCUGUGCUGGCCAGAGAACAUCAGGGUGGAGAAGUUUCAGUAUAAACAAGUAAGAAAAUGUUCUCGGAAACUAAUGAUCUUAUCUGGUCAGAAUGAAUGAAGAAGGUUUAGUGUUCAUCUCUUCAUCGGCAUUAUUGACAGCAUUUAUGCCACAGAGAGAAACAAACACCAGUCACUUUAAUUGAUUUCCAUGGAGGCCACAACACUCUUCCCAUUUGGAUUCACUAAGGUGAGCAAAGCAUUCCCAAAGCUAGACGAGAGGACAUUGACUGAUACCACGCAAUGUCUUAUUCCCACCAACCGUGAAUGGAUGUCCAAGGUCAGGAUGGAUAGGAAUGUAAGUUUAACUUACGUCCCAAAUUCUUUUAUCUUUUUUUUAUCAGAAAGUCUUAAGAGAUUCGCAGGAAAAGAUAAAUGCCAACAGAGUGUUCUAAGUUCCUGGGAAGGUGAAUCUUCAUUAUGUUACUUUUCUAGGGAGCGUGUCACUGUUGAUUAUAGAAGGUAAAUGUUUAACACGCAGAUAAAUGUACUGGAAAAUUCACUCUCAUCUUGGAAAAUGCAAAGUCUAGCCCAGAAGUGAUGGGUCAUGGAGAUACUUAGUUUGUAGGCAAAAGCAUGGGAAAGGAGAUGUGAACAGACUCCCGCUUAGGCAGUAUGUGUUCAGAUGAGCAGCAGCGUGUGGGGAAAGGAAGACUGGAAACCUGAGAGGUGGGACAGCAGGAAAGGGCACGUGAAGAAAAGUGGAAUAUUGGAGCUGGAAGAGGCAAACAAUGACAUGGCAAAAUGAGACCAGGAAGGAAGAAAUCAAGGUGGGAAGAUGCCCCAUACCUAUUACAUCCAGCCUACAGCUGUCUCUCCAGAGAGGCCCAGGAUGGAGAAGUGGCAGUUUAAACAAGCAAGCAAUACGGAAUACUGUAAAGUAACGGUCCCACAAAGACAGGCAGAGGUAAGAGACUGAGUCACCCAAAUAUCAAAGACUCAACCAUGGGAGUCCUAGUCUUACCUCAGCCUCCAUCCAUCUCUCUGUCCUCUCCGAAUCCCACAAGGCUUACGAGCGCCUAACGUACUCCACCCACGGGGCUGCCAUUGCCUCCCUACCUGGAAUAUAGACUUGUUUUUGGCACAUGCAAAGUCACACAGUGGGUUUCCAGCCUUCAUAGCUGAGCAAAGGGUAGCCACUUCGCGGUGGGACUGCAAUCCCAGGCCAAAAACCAGGAAGAUGGCACAGACUUCCAAUCAGCCCUGCAGGGGAGAACCUUUCCUCAAGCUCAAACACCUCAUCUGAAAUAUACCUCUGUCUGGUGAAUAUUCUUACAAGGCUGUUCAGAUGACAGAGUUGAUGAGGGGCCCUCACACACUUAAGCCAGCCCAAUGACUACUCCCUGAGUGCCCACUAUAUGUCUAACAUUUUGCAGGGGCUGGGGCUACAGGCAGAAGAGACACAGUCCUCCUAUUUGUUGGAGCUCGAGCUCACAGUCUAAUGGGGAAGAUGGGCAUUUAAGAAGAAAUUACACAUGUUAUGAAGUUUACCAAAGGAUCCUCGGAAGUGCUCAGAAGUUGGGUGGCUGGUUCUCUGCUUUGGUUUUGUGUUGGCAUGUCCUGCCCAUCCAAGGAGUGGAACAUAAGGCAAAACGGGUCACAUUUCCCUCUGGAGACUGAUGAAGGAAAGCCUAGGUCGUUCCACUAAGCAUCCACUAUUUGCUAAAAUAGAAAUCCUCCCUGUUAAAGGGAGGACCGGAGAUAAAGGACACUAGUCUUAUCAUACACGUGCUGGAUCCAUAGCCUGUAAUGUCCUCAUACAGGCUGACAUGCAUUUUCCAAAGGGGCAGCUCUGCUCAAUGCCAAUGCCAGUAAACACCCUGGAGUACUGGAGGCUCUGACUUCCUGCACCCUCCACCAUCUACGGCAGAGCUGUGAAUUCUGGAGUAAAUGAAAAAGGACCUCUGAGCCACAGGGCUGCUGUCACAAAAUCCAUGUGCUGAAUGUGUCCAGGAAAUAGAAGCUAUUUUCAAGUCCUCAUCCUACUCUAAGAAAUAAGCUUGUGGAUUGGAGGCAGUGGGACGUAGGCCAGUAGGGAGAAAAGAAAGUGGAGAGUGCUAAAAGUUCAGAUAAAUAAAAACACAUAGCAAUAUAACUAUUUGGGGGAC
rnacentral:lncRNA from 1 species